rnacentral:rRNA from 1 species
UGCCAGCAGCCGCGGUAAUACGGAGGGGGCAAGCGUUGUUCGGAAUUACUGGGCGUAAAGGGCGCGUAGGCGGGACGUCAAGUCAGGGGUGAAAGGCCUGGGCUCAACCUAGGAACUGCCUUUGAAACUGACGACCUUGAGUACGGGAGAGGAUGGCGGAAUUCCCAGUGUAGAGGUGAAAUUCGUAGAUAUUGGGAAGAACACCGGUUGCGAAGGCGGCCAUCUGGCCCGUUACUGACGCUGAGGCGCGAAGGCGUGGGUAGCGAACGGGAUUAGAUA